rnacentral:rRNA from 1 species
UUGAACGCUGGCGGCAGGCCUAACACAUGCAAGUCGAGCGGUAGCACAGAGAGCUUGCUCUCGGGUGACGAGCGGCGGACGGGUGAGUAAUGUCUGGGAAACUGCCUGAUGGAGGGGGAUAACUACUGGAAACGGUAGCUAAUACCGCAUAACGUCGCAAGACCAAAGUGGGGGACCUUCGGGCCUCAUGCCAUCAGAUGUGCCCAGAUGGGAUUAGCUAGUAGGUGGGGUAACGGCUCACCUAGGCGACGAUCCCUAGCUGGUCUGAGAGGAUGACCAGCCACACUGGAACUGAGACACGGUCCAGACUCCUACGGGAGGCAGCAGUGGGGAAUAUUGCACAAUGGGCGCAAGCCUGAUGCAGCCAUGCCGCGUGUGUGAAGAAGGCCUUCGGGUUGUAAAGCACUUUCAGCGGGGAGGAAGGCGAUAAGGUUAAUAACCUUGUCGAUUGACGUUACCCGCAGAAGAAGCACCGGCUAACUCCGUGCCAGCAGCCGCGGUAAUACGGAGGGUGCAAGCGUUAAUCGGAAUUACUGGGCGUAAAGCGCACGCAGGCGGUCUGUCAAGUCGGAUGUGAAAUCCCCGGGCUCAACCUGGGAACUGCAUUCGAAACUGGCAGGCUAGAGUCUUGUAGAGGGGGGUAGAAUUCCAGGUGUAGCGGUGAAAUGCGUAGAGAUCUGGAGGAAUACCGGUGGCGAAGUCGGCCCCCUGGACAAAGACUGACGCUCAGGUGCGAAAGCGUGGGGAGCAAACAGGAUUAGAUACCCUGGUAGUCCACGCCGUAAACGAUGUCGAUUUGGAGGUUGUGCCCUUGAGGCGUGGCUUCCGGAGCUAACGCGUUAAAUCGACCGCCUGGGGAGUACGGCCGCAAGGUUAAAACUCAAAUGAAUUGACGGGGGCCCGCACAAGCGGUGGAGCAUGUGGUUUAAUUCGAUGCAACGCGAAAAACCUUACCUGGUCUUGACAUCCACAGAACUUUCCAGAGAUGGAUUGGUGCCUUCGGGAACUGUGAGACAGGUGCUGCAUGGCUGUCGUCAGCUCGUGUUGUGAAAUGUUGGGUUAAGUCCCGCAACGAGCGCAACCCUUAUCCUUUGUUGCCAGCGGUUAGGCCGGGAACUCAAAGGAGACUGCCAGUGAUAAACUGGAGGAAGGUGGGGAUGACGUCAAGUCAUCAUGGCCCUUACGACCAGGGCUACACACGUGCUACAAUGGCAUAUACAAAGAGAAGCGACCUCGCGAGAGCAAGCGGACCUCAUAAAGUAUGUCGUAGUCCGGAUUGGAGUCUGCAACUCGACUCCAUGAAGUCGGAAUCGCUAGUAAUCGUAGAUCAGAAUGCUACGGUGAAUACGUUCCCGGGCCUUGUACACACCGCCCGUCACACCAUGGGAGUGGGUUGCAAAAGAAGUAGGUAGCUUAACCUUCGGGAGGGCGCUUACCACUUUGUGAUUCAUGACUGGGGUG